rnacentral:rRNA from 1 species
AGCUCCAGAAGCGUAUAUUAAAGUUGUUGCAGUUAAAAAGCUCGUAGUUGGAUUUCUGGUUUGGUGCGCUUGGCCCGCCAGGGUUACCUGUGUGAGUGCCGAUGCGCGCCUUCCAUCCUUCUAGAGACCGUAUCUACCCUUCAUUGGGCUGGAUUCGCUAUCUAGGACUUUUACUUUGAAAAAAUUAGAGUGUUCAAAGCAGGCUCGCGCUAUGAAUACAUUAGCAUGGAAUAAUAACUUAGGAUUUCGUUUCUAUUUUGUUGGCUUCUAGGGACGAAGUAAUGAUUGAUAGGGAUAGUUGGGGGUGCUAGUAUUGCCUAGGCCAGAGGUGAAAUUCUUGGAUUCUGGCAAGACUAACUCAUGCGAAAGCAUUCACCAAGGAUGUCUUCUUCA